GAUAAACGCUGGCGGCGUGCCUAAUACAUGCAAGUCGAGCGAACGGACGAGAAGCUUGCUUCUCUGAUGUUAGCGGCGGACGGGUGAGUAACACGUGGAUAACCUACCUAUAAGACUGGGAUAACUUCGGGAAACCGGAGCUAAUACCGGAUAAUAUUUUGAACCGCAUGGUUCAAAAGUGAAAGACGGUCUUGCUGUCACUUAUAGAUGGAUCCGCGCUGCAUUAGCUAGUUGGUAAGGUAACGGCUUACCAAGGCAACGAUGCAUAGCCGACCUGAGAGGGUGAUCGGCCACACUGGAACUGAGACACGGUCCAGACUCCUACGGGAGGCAGCAGUAGGGAAUCUUCCGCAAUGGGCGAAAGCCUGACGGAGCAACGCCGCGUGAGUGAUGAAGGUCUUCGGAUCGUAAAACUCUGUUAUUAGGGAAGAACAUAUGUGUAAGUAACUGUGCUCAUCUUGACGGUACCUAAUCAGAAAGCCACGGCUAACUACGUGCCAGCAGCCGCGGUAAUACGUAGGUGGCAAGCGUUAUCCGGAAUUAUUGGGCGUAAAGCGCGCGUAGGCGGUUUUUUAAGUCUGAUGUGAAAGCCCACGGCUCAACCGUGGAGGGUCAUUGGAAACUGGAAAACUUGAGUGCAGAAGAGGAAAGUGGAAUUCCAUGUGUAGCGGUGAAAUGCGCAGAGAUAUGGAGGAACACCAGUGGCGAAGGCGACUUUCUGGUCCGUAACUGACGCUGAUGUGCGAAAGCGUGGGGAUCAAACAGGAUUAGAUACCCUGGUAGUCCACGCCGUAAACGAUGAGUGCUAAGUGUUAGGGGGUUUCCGCCCCUUAGUGCUGCAGCUAACGCAUUAAGCACUCCGCCUGGGGAGUACGACCGCAAGGUUGAAACUCAAAGGAAUUGACGGGGACCCGCACAAGCGGUGGAGCAUGUGGUUUAAUUCGAAGCAACGCGAAGAACCUUACCAAAUCUUGACAUCCUUUGACAACUCUAGAGAUAGAGCCUUCCCCUUCGGGGGACAAAGUGACAGGUGGUGCAUGGUUGUCGUCAGCUCGUGUCGUGAGAUGUUGGGUUAAGUCCCGCAACGAGCGCAACCCUUAAGCUUAGUUGCCAUCAUUAAGUUGGGCACUCUAAGUUGACUGCCGGUGACAAACCGGAGGAAGGUGGGGAUGACGUCAAAUCAUCAUGCCCCUUAUGAUUUGGGCUACACACGUGCUACAAUGGACAAUACAAAGGGCAGCGAAACCGCGAGGUCAAGCAAAUCCCAUAAAGUUGUUCUCAGUUCGGAUUGUAGUCUGCAACUCGACUACAUGAAGCUGGAAUCGCUAGUAAUCGUAGAUCAGCAUGCUACGGUGAAUACGUUCCCGGGUCU
rnacentral:rRNA from 1 species